CCCAGGUGAACUGCAGGCGAAGAUGGAGAAGCUCAUGGCUUCUCAGCUUGCAGUUCAAGAAUGACAGCUACAUGCAGGAUGACAGCUACAAUGACAAGACUUGACUUUCUGGCUGCUAGGUGGAACAGCGUUUAUAUCAGCCCUCUGCAAAGUCUUAUUUGCUGUGGAUGGAGCCCCAUCUGGCGGACAGAAUCAGUACUGCACCAGCGGACGUGAAAGAAGACUGGUUUAAAAAAAAGAAUCCAAGAUGGCGACUUUCAUGUGUAUGUAUAACAUUGGCGCUAGUGCAUCUUGGCCCGACCUGUGGACAGAAAUGUCUAUACUAGCAAAAGGUAAGCUAUUCAUGUGUUAUAGCUACUGCUGUAGAAAAAGAACAUUAGCUUAGCUCUACCAAAAAGUUGAGUUUUCACUUGAAAAUGUAUUGAUAAAUCAUGUUUGAUUUGUAUAUUUUAAUGUCUAUCCUAGUUUUUUUACAGGUUCAUCACUAUCCUGUCUGUCUGUCUUUGCUAUACAGUCCUUUAAUUGAACUAUGUAAAUAAAAUGUUAAUGUGCUAAUUAAAACAUGCAUUUUGCUUGGGAACGGA